rnacentral:rRNA from 1 species
UACGUAGGGUGCAAGCGUUAAUCGGAAUUACUGGGCGUAAAGCGUGCGCAGGCGGUUUUGUAAGUCUGUCGUGAAAUCCCCGGGCUCAACCUGGGAAUUGCGAUGGAGACUGCAAGGCUAGAAUCUGGCAGAGGGGGGUAGAAUUCCACGUGUGAGCAGUGAAAUGCGUAGAGAUGUGGAGGAACACCGAUGGCGAAGGCAGCCCCCUGGGUCAAGAUUGACGCUCAUGCACGAAAGCGUGGGGAGCAAACGAGG